rnacentral:lncRNA from 1 species
AUUGUCUGAGUAUCCAGCUACACGCAGCUUCACAUUCUGCUUCGGAGGUGACAGAGAUGGGCGGCAUGAAUCUGUGGCCUCUUACUGCACCUGCAGAGCCCUCAGCCACCUGGAGGCCCCUGGGACAGGGGGAAAGGGGGUUAAGCUGCAGAUGUUCAAUGGUAAAUACACAGGUGACAGAAGGAGCCUUUUUUAGGAGUCUGCAUUGACCGGAGUCAGUGGGCAAGGGCGCAGCAAAGCACUAGAAGUCUCCCGAGUGCUAUGGUUUGGUGUAAGAGACAAUUGAGUGCAUGCUUUUUUCCUGUAAUGGCUUUGAAAAUUACAAAUGUGCAUUGAAAAAUGAUAUCUGGGUCAGACUUGGGCCACACCUGCAACAUCACCGUUGUUUGGAAGCCACUGACUUAAAGGAAAAGGGACUCCUGAUUGCUGUUUGUGAGCUGCUGGAACAUGGUUCCCCUGCUUUAACUGCCAGUUUUCUCACAUCCAACCAGGGAUGGCCAUUCCCUGGGGUUAAUGAGUGAGAGAUAAAAGAGGCUUCCUCAAACCCCAAGACGGAUUGGAAGGAGAGAGAGAAAAAAGAGAAAAGCAGACCAGUAAGAAGGUGUGGACAGAAGCUGGAGAUGGGAAGUAAUAAAUAAAUAAAACACAAACCAUCGGGAAGAAAAGGAAGAAUUGAAGACAGAGAUUUUUGACUGCGUGGAAUGUGGGAGAGAUAAGGAGGAGCCUGAGAGCCAGGCUGUCCUAGGCUUCUAUCCCAAAAGUGUAAAGAGUAAGACCCUGGGCAAGUUACUUACCUUCCUCUUCUUCCUUGACCAACUCUGAAAUGAGAGCAAGUUGAAUAGAAUCCAGAUUAUAGCCUUGUCUUGAGAAACCAGUGAGUAAAUCUAUGGCACAUGUUCAGCAUAGUCUCUGACAUAUUAAGUCCUCGAUAAACAGUUUUGACAAUUAUAGUUUUGCAUACAGAAGUUACAGCUGAUUUGGGUUCAACAUGUAUGAAGAUAAUUUGGACUUCUUAAAAUUAAAAGGCUAUGGCCUGACUUCAACUUGUCUCCUUAUUUUUUGCCUCUUGUCCCUAAAAUCAAAUUCCUGUUGAUAAAGAGAUUUGGUGACUUAAUCGGGGGAUGAACAGAUCUAAUAUAUUUCUUCAUAUCUUUC